CCAGAGCCAUGUCCGGCAAAACACAUGUGAUGCAGUUAAGGGCCUUAGCUGGCGAACCAGAACUGACUAGCCAUUGCCAUACCAUAAGCGUAUCAUCAAUGGCUCGUCUAAGGUACAAAAAUGCUUUGUACAAAAUGUUUUUAAUGUAGAUGCAAAUUUUACGGAGAGAAAAAUAUAUUUAUGUUUUCAUUCAAAUAUAUAAUUUUCAUUAUAUAAGUUAUAUUAUAAUAAUAUAACAUCCUGUAUAUUUAGUAAUCUUGGUUUUAGUCAUAAGCUAUUGGACUUAAAGAAAAAAAAUUCGAGAAAUUAAAAUUAUUUUAUUUAAACUUUUAUUUAUUUAUUUAUCUGUCCGAAAUCAAUCAAGGGGAAUUGGUUAUUGAUGGAGCCUAUAACUAUGAUUACAUAGGUAAAACUGGGUUUUAUUUUCCUCAGCCUAUUGACGCUUUGCCCAAAACAGUCGUUCAAAGCAAUUUCAAAAAAUAUGGGUUGAACACUACAGAUAAUGUCUUCCAACACCACUGCUCUGGAUAAUAACCUCAAUAUUUCUUAUCAAAUUGAUAAUGAAAAUAGUGAAUUUGAAACUUUAUCUAAUAACGAUUCAGAUAAAAGUGAUAAGAAUAUUGUAAUAGAUGAACUAGAGGGUGAUUUAGCAUUUUGAUCUUCUCAGCAUAAUAUCACACAAGAAUUCACUAAUUUGGUUUGCUGAUCUAUGACCAGAGCUGCUUAAAUAUUAAUGCAUCCUAAAAUUUUAUUUAAUUUUGUGUUUUUUAUGUAUUUAAAUAAAAUUCAUUAUAUAUAUGUAUUUUUUUAAUGCUAUAUUUUAUAUGAUCUCAUCAUCAUUGUCAUCAUCCCCCACCUUUAUUUUCCUUUAUUCUAUAUAUUUAUUCAACUUUAAUUACAUUUCUUUAUAAUUUCUUUAUUUUUAAUUUGGUGUUGAGUAAAACAAGUACUUCACUAAGUUUUAAUUAUUAUUUUUAGAAUAAAGUAUACACUUAUUAACUCUGGUAAUGUUUAGCCUUAAAAUAAUUUUUACUGGACAUCGUAAUAUCUUAAGAGUACAGAAAUAACCUGAUGAAAAUUAUGAUAGUGACUCACAAGAUUUUAAUGAACAUCAAGAAUUAAAAAAGUCUUGUCUGCAGACACCUGUCUCUGUAUUAAACAAAAGUAAAACGAGAUUGGAAAAAGUGAUCAUAAUUACCUCUGUGAUUAAGGUAUUUUGUCUACUAAUUUGUAGCCUAUUGCAAAACAUUUUAUGAAUUAUAACUAAUGUUAAUAAAAAAAUAUGAACUAAAUUGUUUUACUAGUGGUAACAAAAAACUAGGGAAGUAGCAAAAAAAUUGAAUUGGACAGGGCAAUGUGAUCUUCAAAAAAAGUCUUUCCGAAUUCUUAAAUUUCGUAAAGUUAUUGAAAAAGCAAUAGGAAGAAACUUGCUGACAAAAGAUACCACAUACAGCGAAAUUUAAAAAACAGUUGUGGCUUUUUUUUCUGAAGCUCUAGACAGAAAUAGAGGCAGAAAAGAAAGAGCAGAAAAAAAGUUCAUCCAGAAAACCAGUUCAACAAAAAAUCGUGGCUAUACUGCUUAAUCACUGACAUUGAAACCUUUAUCUGGAUUAUCAUUACCACAAUUUGAACGCUUUAUUUUUGAUGAAUCUGACAAAUAAUAAUGUUCUCAAAGUCUUGCAUGAUCUGUUUUAUAUGUUAUGUUUUAUAUUAAUUGUAUAUUUGGCAUUAUUAUAAGCUUUACAAGUAUUUAUAUUAUUAAUGAUAAAUUUAAUGCAUUUAUUUUUAAAAUAUUUACAAACUUGUAAAUU